GUUGGAGCAGCCUGGGACUGGGAGGUGUCAGGGCAGGACAGGGGCAGGGGUGGCACUGGGGGGGACUGAAAGCCCUUUCCAUCCUAAACCAGUCAGGAAUUCUGGGAUUCUAUGUGUACACCACCGCCUCCCCUCCCUCCAGGAGCUGCUCCAGGCUCUCCCCGCCCUCCAGCCUCUCCCAGCCUAAAAUCUGAGCUGGACAGAGAAAAUCUCCACUCACCGGCGUGGGAGCUGCAGCCCCUGGGUCUCCUCACCCCAAACCUGCCAAGGACACCAGCAGUGACUCAGAGUUACCAGUUCCUGUAGCAGAACUGGGAGGCUGCAGGGAGCCAGGAGACCAUGGGAUCACAGAGCUAUUUCAGCUGGAAUGGGCCAUACACCACCCAGGAAAAGGCAAAACUCGAGGGCUCACAGCCUGCCCCUUCCCGGGGAGAAGGUGAGGCCAGCAUCGUCAGGGAAAGUCAAAUUUAUUGAUGGAACAAGCACGAAGCAGCCUCAGUUCAUUAAAGCAAAGGGAGGAAAACCAACAUCUGACAAAGCAACUGAUUCCCCCCAGGAGUUGCUCCUCCCUGGCUCCCUCCUCCCACUCACCAUGGUGCCCCCAAAUUUCGGGAGGUGGCAAAGGACCGUGGUCACUCCCUGUGGUGCCAGGUUUGGUGACCUGUCUUGGGCUGCAAUGCAGGAUGUGACAGAAAUGUGAGUUCUGUCCCAUCUGCUGCAGCCGGGUGGGGCAGUGCCCCUGAUCUCCUGGCACACAUUAUCUGCUCAUGGGCCAGCUUUAAACCAGCUGGGCAAUCAUCUUUAUCUUCCCACAGCCCAUCCUCCCUCCAGGAGAUAUCUCCUGUUA
rnacentral:lncRNA from 12 species